rnacentral:rRNA from 1 species
UACGUAGGGGGCAAGCGUUGUCCGGAUUUAUUGGGCGUAAAGAGCGUGUAGGCGGCUAGGUAGGUCCGUUGUGAAAACUCGAGGCUCAACCUCGAGACGUCGAUGGAAACCAUCUAGCUAGAGUCCGGAAGAGGAGAGUGGAAUUCCUGGUGUAGCGGUGAAAUGCGCAGAUAUCAGGAAGAACACCCGUGGCGAAGGCGGCUCUCUGGUACGUGACUGACGCUGAGACGCGAAGGCGUGGGGAGCGAACAGG